rnacentral:rRNA from 1 species
CCUACGGGGGGCAGCAGUGAGGAAUAUUGGUCAAUGGGCGGGAGCCUGAACCAGCCAAGCCGCGUGAGGGAAGAAGGUACAGCGUAUCGUAAACCUCUUUUGUCAGGGAACAAAGGCGGGGACUAGUCCCCGUAUGAGGGUACCUGAAGAAAAAGCAUCGGCUAACUCCGUGCCAGCAGCCGCGGUAAUACGGAGGAUGCGAGCGUUAUCCGGAUUUAUUGGGUUUAAAGGGUGCGCAGGCGGCCUGUUAAGUCAGCGGCAAAAGCCCGGGGCUCAACCCCGUCGAGCCGUUGAAACUGGCGUGCUGGAGUUGGAGAGAAGUAUGCGGAAUGCGCGGUGUAGCGGUGAAAUGCUUAGAUAUCGCGCAGAACCCCGAUUGCGAAGGCAGCGUACCGGCUCCAAACUGACGCUGAGGCACGAAAGCGUGGGUAUCGAACAGGAUUAGAUACCCGUGUAGUC